AAUACAUUAGUACAAACAGGUCCUUGUUUCUGCGAAAUCCGUUUGCAGGAUCAAGGUUAAAAGGGAAGUUUGGUGAAAUGCCAACGCGGUCCCGCCACUGUAAGAGAGGAGCUCUUCUUCACGGCGUUAGCCAUCCACUGCCCAAUUGGGAGCGGGAAGGAGAAGAUGAGCGAUGAUCCUCGAGCCAGGAGACCUGCCUGUUUUUGUGUGUGCAC
rnacentral:ncRNA from 1 species